AUGCCAUUGAGAAGGCUGGUUAUACCAGAAAGUUCCAGCUUUGGAAAGAAUUGUAUACAGUACGUGUUCAAUAAAUCAAUUGAGAAUGAAGAUGUUGUGAAAUCUGUCCUGCCUAUAGCCGAGUCGUAUGGAUUACAACUGGCAAAGUCAUUCCCCGAAUGGCAUGUCUUGGUCUUCAAGUUUUUGAAGGCGGUA